rnacentral:rRNA from 1 species
UACGGAGGGAGCUAGCGUUGUUCGGAAUUACUGGGCGUAAAGCGCGCGUAGGCGGUUACUCAAGUCAGAGGUGAAAGCCCGGGGCUCAACCCCGGAACUGCCUUUGAAACUAGGUAACUAGAAUCUUGGAGAGGUCAGUGGGAUUCCGAGUGUAGAGGUGAAAUUCGUAGAUAUUCGCAAGAACACCAGUGGCGAAGGCGGCUCACUGGCCCGGUACUGACGCUGAGGUGCGAAAGCGUGGGGAGCAAACAGG